GUUAGAGUGGCAGAGCCCGGUAAUUGCAAAAGGCCUAAGCCCUUUGGACAGAGGUUCAAGUCCUCUCCCUAACU
rnacentral:tRNA from 2 species